GACGAACGCUGGCGGCGUGCUUAACACAUGCAAGUCGAACGGAAAGGCCCUGCUUUUGCGGGGUGCUCGAGUGGCGAACGGGUGAGUAACACGUGAGUAACCUGCCCUUGACUUUGGGAUAACUUCAGGAAACUGGGGCUAAUAUCGGAUAGGAGCUCUUGAUGCACGGUGGGGGAUGGUGAGUUUCGGCGGUUGGGGAUGGACUCGCGGCUUAUCAGCCUGUUGGUGGGGUAGUGGCUUACCAAGGCUUUGACGGGUAGCCGGCCUGAGAGGGUGGCCGGCCACAUUGGUACUGAGGUACGGCCCAGACUCCUACGUGAGGCAGCAGUGGGGAAUAUUGCGCAGUGAGCGGAAGCGUGAGACAGCAACGCCGCGUGCGGGAUGACGUCUUUCGGGUUGUAAACCGCUUUCGCCUGUGACGAAGCGUGAGUGGCGGUAAUGGGUAAAGAAGCACCGGCUAACUACGUG
rnacentral:rRNA from 1 species